rnacentral:rRNA from 1 species
AGUCGAGCGGACCGACGGGAGCUUGCUCCCUUAGGUCAGCGGCGGACGGGUGAGUAACACGUGGGUAACCUGCCUGUAAGACUGGGAUAACUCCGGGAAACCGGGGCUAAUACCGGAUGCUUGAUUGAACCGCAUGGUUCAAUCAUGAAAGGCGGCUUCGGCUGCCGUUUACAGAUGGACCCGCGGCGCAUUAGCUAGUUGGUGAGGUAACGGCUCACCAAGGCGACGAUGCGUAGCCGACCUGAGAGGGUGAUCGGCCACACUGGGACUGAUACACGGCCCAGACUCCUACGGGAGGCAGCAGUAGGGAAUCUUCCGCAAUGGACGAAAGUCUGACGGAGCAACGCCGCGUGAGUGAUGAAGGUUUUCGGAUCGUAAAGCUCUGUUGUUAGGGAAGAACAAGUACCGUUCGAAUAGGGCGGUACCUUGACGGUACCUAACCAGAAAGCCACGGCUAACUACGUGCCAGCAGCCGCGGUAAGACGUACGUGGCAAGCGUUGUCCGGAAUUAUUGUGCGUAAAGCGCGCGCACGCGGUUUCUUAAGUCUGAUGUGAAAGCCUGCGGCUCAACCGGGGAGGGUCAUUGGAUACUGGGGUAACUUGAGUGCAUAAGAGGAGAGU